rnacentral:rRNA from 1 species
UACGAAGGGGGCUAGCGUUGUUCGGAAUCACGUGGGCGUAAAGGGCGCGUAGGCGGCUUUUCAAGUCGGGGGUGAAAGCCUGUGGCUACAACCGACAGAAUUGCCUUCGAUACUGUUAGGCUUGAGACCGGAAGAGGUGAGUGGAACUGCGAGUGUAGAGGUGAAAUUCGUAGAUAUUCGCAAGAACACCAGUGGCGAAGGCGGACUCACCUGGUCCGGUUCUGACGCUGAGGCGCGAAAGCGGUGGGGAGCAAACAGG